UACAGAGGUCUCAAGCGUUGUUCGGAUUCAUUGGGCGUAAAGGGCGCGUAGGUGGUUCUGUAUGUCUACCGUGAAAGCGUACGGCUCAACCGUAUUUUGUCGGUGGAAACUGCAGGACUUGAGGCUGGGAGGGGCUGGUGGAAUUCCCUGUGUAGCGGUGAAAUGCGUAGAGAUGGGGGAGAACACUCGUGGCGAAGGCGGCCAGCUAGACCAGUUCUGACACUGAGGCGCGACAGCGUGGGGAGCAAACAGG
rnacentral:rRNA from 1 species